AGAAAUAACGAGUAUGUUUUAAUGCUAGUUAUGAGCAAUCUAAAGUUUCAAAUAUAAAGGAAAUUGGUUUGGAUAGCAAACAUAAUAAAAACUCAUUGGUUUAUGAACAGAGAGAUAUUGAUGGUGAAAUAAAACUUUGUAAAUCUACCAGCACUGUAGACCACUUGACAUUCACAAUUGAAUCAGGAGUUUAAGAGUGAUAAAAGUAUCCAGGCAAUAAUUUUGGACAAUACAAGUGUUAAUACAGGACCAGUUGGAAAAUCUUUGACAAAUCCAAUUCAUUUAAAUUUAACUGUUGACUUCAUACAAGUUGAGACAGACGUUGAAUAUCCCCCUCUGUGUGUCAUUAAAGACCUCUCUGCUGACCAGAGAAUGCUACUGGAAUACAGUAUUGGAAUUUCUAGAGGGUUUUCAGACAAUAAGUAUCUGAAAAAAAA